rnacentral:tRNA from 1 species
GCCGAUGUGGCUCAGGGGUAGAGCAGCUCACUCGUAAUGAGCAGGUCGCCGGUUCGAAUCCGGCCAUCGGCUCCA